rnacentral:tRNA from 1 species
AUUUAUAUAGUAUAAUUAAUUAUAUUUAAUUUCCAAUUAAAUGAUCUAAUUAAAUUUAGUAUAAAUA